UGGUGAGUCGGGUGAGAGGAGGGAUGGUGAGUCGGGUGAGAGGAGGAAUGGUGAGUCGGGUGAGAGGAGGGAUGGUGAGUCGGGUGAGAGGCAGCCUCACCGCUGCUCCCUGCCUCCCCUCAGACUGAACAUCAGAUGCUGGCCGUUAGUCCAGUUUAAAAAAUGUAAAAAGGCCAUUAUUAUGCUCUCAGCUGUGUCUCACAGGUAAUACAACAAAUCUAUUACCAGUGUGAUCAUAUACCAAUUUUUUUUAAAUAUAAUUUCAACAUGAUCUGAGAAGAACAACAUUGGCAGGGCAAUUCAAGAGUAGCCUAUAUGCAGUGAUAAUGUAUUGGGCCUAUAGCCUACUGCACAAAUCUCAUUGCUACAAAACUGCGUUCAAUUGGUUAAUGUUACAUAGGCUUACGUUUUUUAAGUAAUGUUUAAAUCUGAGUGGUAGGAUCUCAGCUUGCAUUUUGUCUCGGAAAGUGAUCUUGACUCAGAAAAGGUUGGUGACCACUGCUUUACAUGGUCUGUAUUCCUGUGUAUUUAUUCCCGUUCAGGACAGUUGUUUCUGCAGAUAAGUUACUUAGUUGUACUGUGAUGCUGGUAAAACUGAUACCAGUAUGCAAACUGCUGUAUGGCUGACACCAUUGAAAUGUUUGGACUUUGGAGGCAGUUCUGUGAUGGCAGUUACCCCAGUAAAGGCAAUCGGAUGGAGAUGGUUUGGGAUGUGAGGAAGAAAGCGUUUCCAGCGGGAACAGCUGACAGACUGAUUGAUGUGUGCCUUUUUCAAUAUUUUAUUUAUUUUUUACAUUCCUCUUUAAACCAAUAAGCUAUUCACUCAUUGCAUGUACUGCACAUACAGUUGAACGCGGAAGUUUACAUACACCUUAGCCAGAUACAUUUAAACUCAGUUUUCACAAUUCUUGACAUUUAAUCCUAGUAAAAAUUUCCUGUUUUAGGUCAAUUGGACCAUUCCUCCUGACAGAGCUGGUGUAACUGAGUCAGUCUGUAGAAAACAACUUGGUCAAAGCGCAUCUUGAACCUUCACCCGACUCUCAUUGACAUCAAGGAAUGGUUUUCAGGAAACUUCCACUCGCAUGCAUUUUUCAAGUCUUGCCAUUACUCUGUACGCUUACAUUGAUUGAUUGUUUAACAUCAAUAUGAUCAGAUAGAAUUUAACAUUACAAUAUGUAUAGAUUUGAUUCCAACUUGUUGUAUUGACUUUUUACUUCAUUGGUUAAACGUCUGUAGACAUGGUGGCGUUUUGUAGAUUGUGUAAGGAUACACAGGGUGUGUUUAGAAUGGAAUCGGGCCAACAUACUGCUUCUAGAAUGAAGUGGCAGAGGGAGUCAGUAUAAAUGAAUCUGAAUUAAAUUUUGAAUCAGAAUCUGAAGUUAUAGAAAUUGGCAAGGGGGUGUUCAAGUUUUAUUGAAAUUAUAAUGGGUCCUUUUACUGAUAACUACAUGUUUUUUCUUUGUAGCUCAUAUUUAUGUGGUAAUGUCAGUUGGCAAUGAAGAUAAUUCAUUUUAGGGCUGAAUUAAAAUGUUAUUUAGUUGCUAGGUUCCUGCUCCAUAGACUACUGAUUGUGCCCAAUUGUUGGUGAAGAUAAUUUAGGCACACUAAUGAAUGUGGUACCAACUUGCAUGUUCCGCUGCUCAAGAGUCUCUAAUUUAUCAGGGUAUAGGGGUCAUUUUAAUAUUAGGCUACUGCUUAUGUCCUUCCAGCUUCCACUUAUCUGCCUUUGCGUGUAGUGGAGACAACUACAAGCUGCUCCAGUAAACACUGUAGGCGGAUUGUAUUUGUUGUGAUGAACUUAUUGGUGACACACUUUUACUAUUAUGUUUCUUAAUAAACCACUCAAAUCUA